rnacentral:rRNA from 1 species
GAUGAACGCUAGCUACAGGCUUAACACAUGCAAGUCGAGGGACCGGCGCACGGGUGAGUAACACGUAUCCAACCUGCCCUUUACUCGGGGAUAGCCUUUCGAAAGCAAGAUUAAUACCCGAUAUAAAGGAUGGGAAUGCGUUCCAUUAGGUUGUUGGUGAGGUACUGGCUCACCAAGCCUUCGAUGGAUAGGGGUUAUGAGAGGAAGGUCCCCCACAUUGGAACUGAGGCACGGUCCAAACUCGUACGGGAGGGAGCAGUGAGGAAUAUUGGUGAAUGGGCGCUAGCCGGACCCAGCCAAGUAGCGUGAAGGAUGAAGGCUUAUUGGUCGUAAACUUCUUUUAUAGAAGAAUAUGUAUUAUAUGAAUAAGGAUCGGCUAACUCCGUGCCAGCAGCCGCGGUAAUAC